GGGCGAGGGGAGUAGAACUCUCUAGUGUGCGGUGUGCGAAGGGAGGAGUGGAAAUAUCUAGACCCCGGUAGCUACGACUCGUCACCAAUUCCGGUAGUCAAGCUCUCCACCACCACUGCAACUGAUUUCUCAGGCUUCAACAAAAUCAUUCAUCAAAUAUCCGCAGAUUGGAAGAUCCUUCGUAAGCUAUCUAAGCAGAUGAAUAUCACUCCACUUGCGCAACUUCGUACUGGGAUUCAGCAAUGCACCAUACAAGUUAUCAUCUUGAGAAUGUGGGAGUUUAGAGGGAAAAAGUGAAGAUGAAGCUAUCAAGCAUUUGGAUCUGGUAAUUCUUGAUGAGAAGGCAACACCUAUGUAUGUCGAAAUACCUCCAGAUGCAAUACCUACACUCAAACCACAUCUUCAUAAAGGAAAAAUAGUACUCAUCAGGAAAUUUAUGGUGCAACAUGCAAAGACAACAUACCGAGUUGUACAAACUCCACUCAUGAUCAAAUUAAAUAGAAAAACAGAGAUUGCAACACCGCAGCCACAACCACUGAACUAUCAAAAGUACACAUAUAAUUUUGUGGAUUUCUCGCAGCUCAAUAACUAUCUCAAUAUGACAAAUCAAUUCCUAGGCGUAUCCAAUGCUGCAAGUGUGAUGUCUUUUGGUAAAUUACAAACAAAGCGAUUAAUCAAUCUGAAAAAUCUAAGGAAGAUGAUGACAAAUCCUGGAAGCAUCAAAUAUGUACCUGGUUAUAAGAAGAAAGGGAAACAGCAAGGUGAGGCCUGAAGUUCUCAGCUGGACACCUCGGAUAAUUCUUCCAUAAUUUUCUUAGUUCAGAGGAGUGUGAUUACCUAAUGGCAAUUGCUAGACCAAGACUCCAUAUUUCUACUGUAGUGGAUGUUGCAAUGGGAAAGGUAUGUUGAUUCUAAUUCGUAGCAUUUGGUGUUCUCUCUGUCUUUCAGUAUUGACUAGCCAUUUUGUUCUUCAACGGGAAAUGUAGUGGAUGUUUCUUUAUCGUGUGUUCAACUUGUACACCUCUCCUUUUGAGUGUACAAAUAGGUACUAAUAGGAAACAUGACAACAAGAUCCCUACAUUUCUUAGAAUGACCUUGAAAUACUAGGAGUAUUUUACUUGUGAAAUUGGAGGUUUGCAUGGUUUCCUGUCAACACUCUUCCUGUUUGCUUCUUCAAGUUUUGGCCCAGAUAUGCCUCGUCUGCAUUUUUCCAGUUAUAUGUUACCAUGCUAUCUCUGAAGACAUCAAAUGCAGGUUCUUUACAUCUUGUUUUUAACAUGCUCUUCUAUAUAGAAGAUUUUUAUGUUUAUGAAAAGAUUAAUUAUUAUGCUGGAAGUAUUUUGAGCAAUUUGUGCCUUCAUUGGAUUUUUUUUUGUGUGGCUAUCAAUUUUUGAAAACCCCAGACACUAUUUUCUUGUCUUUUGUAUUUAUAAUGUCACUGUUUAUAUGUU